AUUGGAUCUCACGUGGAGGAAUAAGUCUAAUUUUCCUAUCUCAAAAUCCUUAACUUUCUCCCAUCUGCAAAGUCUCUUUUGCCAUAAAGCAUGUGUUUGACAUAAAACAGCUCUAAAGAAAGGUCUUUGUUGGGAAAUUCAAUACCAAACAGUUGAAGAGAAGGAAAAGGAAUGUGAGGCUGAAAGAAAUGAAGAACCAAUUACUAGACAUGGUUUUAAUUUGACUACAUGCAGUUGAUUGUUGAUAUCCUAGCCACCAAGGAGCUGCCUAACCUCCUUUCAGGAUGAGUGCCUGGUGUAACAAAUAUGGUUAAGCACAAUAAAGACUAAUAACAUGAGAAAAAGACGAACACCUGAGGAGAAAGCCAUGAAAGUGACCAUUAAAAAGG